rnacentral:lncRNA from 1 species
CUGGAAGCUUGUUUUCCCCACGGGGUGAAGUGCGAUGUGUUUGCUCACCUGGAGAGGAGCGGCCUGGCUGCCACCGCUUUUUCUUGGACAGAACCAGCAGCACGACAGAACCGAGCACUGUGGCCGAGCCAGCCACCAAAACUACAGCCAGGGGCCAGGCCUUGUCUCCUUCGCCAC